rnacentral:rRNA from 1 species
UCUUGCGCAGCUUAGGUGGAAGGCUGAGAAAGGCAAUUCCGGUUGUCUGGAGCCAUCAGUGAGAUACCACUCUGGGAGAGCUAGGAGUCUAAUGGCGUUCCUUGAAUCAGGACGCUUGACAGUUUCAGGUGGGCAGUUUUACUGGGGCGGUAGCCUCCUAAAAGGUAACGGAGGCGUGCAAAGGUUCCCUCAGGCUGGACGGAAAUCAGCCAUAGAGUGUAAAGGCAGAAGGGAGCUUGACUGCAAGACCUACAAGUCGAGCAGGGACGAAAGUCGGCCUUAGUGAUCCGACGGUGCCGUGUGGAAGGGCCGUCGCUCAACGGAUAAAAGUUACUCUAGGGAUA